rnacentral:rRNA from 1 species
CUUGAUGGUAGUGUAUUGGACUACCAUGGCAGUAACGGGUAACGAAGAAUUAGGGUUCGAUUUCGGAGAGGGAGCAUGAGAAACGGCUACCACAUCUAAGGAAGGCAGCAGGCGCGUAAAUUACCCAAUCCUGACUCAGGGAGGUAGUGACAAGAAAUAGCAAACCGGGGACCUCACGGUCUCACGGUAUUGCAAUGAGAACAAUUUAAAACGCUUAGCGAGGAUCAAGUGGAGGACAAGUCUGGUGCCAGCACCCGCGGUAAUUCCAGCUCCACUAGCGUAUAUUAAAGUUGUUGCAGUUAAAAAGCUCGUAGUUGAACCUCUGUCUGGGGCUAGUUUUGGCUUAGGUCAGGCUAGUUUUAGGCAUCCGCCUACAAGACCUAGAGGGCAUUUAGUUGUUAACUAGGAGGAGUAGGCAUUUUACUUUGAAAAGAUUAGAGUGUUUAAGGCAGGCAAUCGCCCGCAUAUAUUAGCAUGGAAUAAUAGAAUAGGACACUUUUCCAUUUCGUUGGUUAUUGGAAUCGUGUAAUGAUUAAUAGGGACAGUUGUGGGCAUUUGUAUUUAAUUGUCAGAGGUGAAAUUCUUGGAUUUAUUAAAGACAAACUAACGCGAAAGCAUUUGCCAAGGAUGUUUUCAUUAAUCAAGAACGAAAGUUAGGGGAUCAAAGACGAUCAGAUACCGUC